rnacentral:rRNA from 1 species
AGGACGAACGCUGGCGGCGUGCUUAACACAUGCAAGUCGAGCGGAAAGGCCCUUCGGGGUACUCGAGCGGCGAACGGGUGAGUAACACGUGAGUAACCUGCCCUAGACUUUGGGAUAACCCUCGGAAACGGGGGCUAAUACCGGAUAUGACGACUCACCGCAUGGUGUGGUUGUGGAAAGUUUUUCGGUUUGGGAUGGGCUCGCGGACUAUCAGCUUGUUGGUGGGGUGAUGGCCUACCAAGGCGACGACGGUUAGCCCGGCCUGAGAGGGCGACCGGCCACGACUGGGACUGAGACACGGCCCAGACUCCUACGGGAGGCAGCAGUGGGAAUAUUGCACAAUGGGCGAAGCCUGAUGCAGCGACGCCGCGUGAGGGAUGACGGCUUCGGGUGUAAACCUCUUUCAGCAGGGACGAAGCGAGAGUGACGUACCUGCAGAAGAAGCGCGCACACGUGCAGCAGCCGC